UUGAAGUGAUUGGUCACAUCCCAUCCAAAGUCAAGAGCAGAGAGAGAAAUUAUUACACUCAUGCAGGACCACUUUACCUUCUCCUUGUCAUGUAGCCAAGGAUCCAAACCUAGGGAAUCCCUCUACCCACUCUUAUGCUGGGUUUUUCCACAUCAAUUACCAUAACUGAGACAAUCUCCCACACUCAUGUCCACAGGCCAACCUGAUCUAGAUAAUCCCUCAUCAAGACACUCGUUCCAUAUGACACUGCACUGUGUCAAGUCAACUAUUAAACUAGCCAUCACUCCAGCACGGUGGAAACUUUACUAAGCUUUGUGGUGAGGUGCUCAAGAAUCUGGACCCUGGCAUCAGACAGGUCACCCAGUUCUGUUGCUCGGUUACACAGAACAGGGUCAGUGUUCUCACCUGGUGAGUGCUAUCAGAACCUUCUCCUCUGGAAUGAGACAAUCACAUGAGCCGAUGGUCCACGAACAUUGCUCAGCCCAGUUCCCAACUCCUAGCACACGAUGCGUCAUUUGUAACCAUUAUUGCGGAUGCUAUUGCCAUCAUCUUCCUGGUGAGCUACAGUAGCCCGAGUGGAUGCUGUGGCACGGGUAACCAGGCAUCACUCAGCUGUCGUCCCUCUCACAGAAGCCGACUGGAAAAAUGAAGUCCUUAUCUCGAAGCUCCGCUUCUCAGAGCUUUCUCUCACAGUGUUUUCUUUAACCACUUGGAAGCACAUGCACCUGUGCUGAGGUGAGUCUCCCUGACAAGGCAGUCUUCAGGGUAUGGAAGGAAAGACACUCACCUCUAUGGCCGGCAUAAGAAGUUUGUGGACACACCAGGGUAAGGAUCCAAGAUAAACAAGCAAGAAUGAAAGAAACAGAACAGAGAGAUCUUGGUGGCCCUCACUUGCCACCUGAGCACCCUUGAGUUUGUAUUAAAAGAAAAACAACAUAUGACUUCUUUUGAAGAACAAAAUUGGACUUAUGGGUCCUAUACCACUCACAGACAGCAUUUACUCAGCCAGACAUCGACACUGUUGCUACUAAUGACAUCAGAAUUAUUAUUGGCUUUGUUUGGGUGAAGGCAUCUGUGCAGGGCCAGCCAAGGCCAGACAUCCCUUCCCUUCAUACUUAUCCUGGCUCAGGUCUGGCACAAUGAGACCAGAACAGUCUCGAUAGGUAUAAGAUAGACCUUGACCUGGCCCUAGGAGACUACAGAUUCAUCUUACCAGCUCCUUCCUACAAGUAGUAAGACACACAUUUUCAUACAGUAGACAGUGUGGUUUUGAAAAUGUAGAAUUUCAUAACUAGUGAUUCCCAGAUAUGUCAAUGCUUUCCAGAGUGGAAUUAUACCCAGGGCUGGUAUGAUUAUACCCUAGCCUGCUUGUAUAACAUGGUUCUGUUUAAAUUGGUCUCCCUCAUAUCCCAGGGGUUCCAUACACAGUGUCUCCCUUUUCCUACCACAUACCGAUGGUAGACAGGCCAUCUGCCCCCACACUCAAUCCAUCCAUGCUUAAACAGUAAGCAUGCACAUAAAUGUUCAUUUAAGGAAAUCACUACUGUAAGGAUACCACAUUUCUCAGAGUAAGGUACCAAAUGUGCCCCUUCAACCUCUUUCAAUGAGAUAUCUGAUAUGGGAGACAAUAUCACCAGUGCAUUUGGGGCUCGGGAUAAAAAUCACAAUGAUUAAAACCAACAGUCAUCAUCGUGUAAACUACAGGGUCAUGUUCACAGGCUCAGAGUUCUUUCCCAUGUGUCCAUGCACACAUGUGCACAUACCAGCACCUCUGUGUUUAGCUCCUUUGGGCUCAACAGUUGGAGACCUGAUGGCAUUGGCUAGAGAGAGACUAACAACAUACGGAAGGCCACAGCCUUAGAGAAUAUCCAGUGGCUGGAGAAGGAGGGCAAAGAGGAGCUGCAAAGCUAUGAAGGAAAUAGAAGGAAAGAGUAGAAAAGAACACUGCUAUGGAGGCGAAUACUAAAUGCCAGAGUACUUUACUCUUGAUAGAUGUAUUUAUUUAUUAGCUUGCUUGCUUACUUGCUUGGUUCGUGUGUGUGUGUGUGUGUUGAGUGUGUGUGUGUGUGUGUGUAUGUGUGUGUGAGAGAGAGAGUGUGUGUGUGUGAGUGGGGGGAGCUGAGUGUGUGUGUGAGUGUAUGUGAGUGUGUGUGGGGAGGUGAGUAUGUGAGUGUGGGUGGGUGAGUGUGUGUGUGUCUGUAUGUGUGUGAGAGAGUGUGUGUGCGAGUGUGUGUGUGUGAGUGUAUGUGUGGGUGAGUGUGUCUAUGAGCAUGUGUGUGUGACUGUGUGUGUGACUGUGUGUGAGUGUGUGUGUGUGUGUGUGUGUGUGUGUGUGUAAGUGGGGAAGGUAGUAUACAUGUGAAGUGGAAACUUAAGGGUUCUUUGGAAAGUCAGUUGUGUUGGAUGGUGUUUUGCUGGGACAAACACAUGAAGGAGUGCUUUCCUGAAGUGGACAUAGGUAAAAGACUAAGAUAGACUCAUGGAGGAAUGUUUCCCUGAAGCAGACACAGGAGAAAGGGUGUUCUGCUAAAGGAAACACAUGAAAGGACACAGGAGGAAGGAUUCUUUGCUAACAACAUUCAUGUAUUGGUCUGCCUUACAUUGCAUAGUUGAGCUGCAUUUAUUGGGACUCCAUAGAGAGAAAUGCAACAAAACACUUCUGGUGGUGUGCUGCAGUUUCUUGCCACUUGACUUGGGCUGAUUGGCAGAAUGAUGCUAGCAGAGACAGACGCACAUGCUAAGACAAGACCCAUGGAGGGCAUGUGAUAUCUAGAGGUUAUAAAGAGGACUCAAAGGGCAGUGAGGGAGGCUGAACCUGGCUUGCUUAUAGAGCUAGCAGUGCAGUGCUUCUUGGUCUCUGGACUUCACUUCAUUGAGAUAGGCACAGCCAAGAACUUCUCCUAGCAUCUCUCUAGGUCCCUCCUGCUGAUUCGAACCAAGGCUGAGGUCUAGCUGUCUCUGCUAGGUAGUGCCACCACUGCUGAUUCGUGUUUGCUCUCCUGAUUCUACAGAGCUAGACUGGUGGUAUAUCUGUGACAUGUUUGUGAGUGGAUAGAACUGCCAUUGCUAACUUAUAAACUGAACUGCAUAUUUCCAGACAACACAGAAAGGAGUUGCUCCAAAGAACCUUCCUAAACAGGACCACUUCCUCCCCUCCCCCUUUUUUCCCACUACCUCUGGUGGGUGGUGGGCUACAAGGGAGGUUAAAGUUUAUAAGAACCAUCAUUAAAAGUAGGAUUUGAAAAAAAUGAAGUUACAUAUAAUGUGAGUGUGUUGUGAUGUGUGUGCGUGGUAUGUGAAUAUAUGUGCAAGUGCAUAUAGCCAUGUGCAAGUGCAUAUAGCCAGGUGAGAACAGCGUGUGUCCUGUUCUAUCACUCUCCAACUUAUUCCUCUGAGACAGGGUCUUUUACUGCAUCUAGAACUCUGGAACUAGACUAGUGAUGGUGCCUGCCUUUUUACACGGGUUCCAGAGCUUUGAAAUCAAGUCUCAAUGCUUACAUAGCCAGUGCUCUUACCAAUUGAGCUAUUGCUCCAACCUCUACUCUCAAAUAUUUUUAAAGCUGGCUUCUCCUUGCCCAUUUUUCCUAUAGGAAACUCCCUACUUUGUGAAUGGAAGAGAGGGAUCUAUGCAGUCAAUGCACAACAUCACAGUGGUCCAGAUCCUGAACCAUCUACUUGGGUAGCGGUUAUCAGACAUUCUAGAAGGGAAAGGGUACUUGGUGUAUUUAACUAUUGGGAGGAAAGCACUUUCGUCUCUUAAGCAAACCGAGUUGAUAGGUGGUGGCAGGUGCCUAGAACACCAGCUUCAGACCACCUUCAUGACUGAAGAAUAAAGGAGAAUCAUAUCUUUAUUUCAUAUUUGCCGCCCUACAUAGACAGAGCUAAGUCCUCUUCCACUUUAUCCAUGCUCUAUCUCUAAAGAGGACGUGUUCUAUCUGACUAACAUUUCCAGGUCCCUAGAGUGUGCCAAACACUGCAGUGAAUGCUUUCUUUCAAUAAUCUCCUUUGAUUUACCACAAACAGUCACACCAUGGUCUGCUUGCUGCUUCUGCCUGUCUUCCGAUCUAGGGGUGCAUCUGAUAUACUAACAGGUGAGCGAGAAUGCUUCUGAAUCGGACCUUUGCUCCCCAGCCUCCUGGGACUACUGGAACAUAGCCGGAAAGCCUGAUCACUGUGGAAGGUGAGUGUUUGGCACACAGAUCACCAUAUUUUUGCUAUUUUCUUUUGUGUGAGUUUUGCAUGUGUUUGCAAUUUUCCGUUUUAGAAUGGUUUUAUUGAAAAAAUUACAUUAUUGUAGACACUGAGUCCAUUUUUAUUAACUGUGCUCUUGACAAUUUCAUACAUAUAUCUAAUGCAUUCUGGUUCCUCUCAACCCCCCCCCUUCUCCCCUCUUUCCCUCCCACCUCCGCCUACACCCCCUUCCCUAAAAGUCCCUUUCUUGUGUCUUUUUGCUUUCUUUUGUGACCCACUAAGUUUAACCAGAGCCAUCUGUUUGACUGUAAGUCUGAAGAAGUCUGCUGAAGCCUGGUAGGUUCAUCUGUGGGUAUUCGACUGAAGACAAGGAGCCCACACACACCCUGUGAGCACCUACCAGUAGCCAAUAAUUCAGGAGGGAGAAGUAGGACCCUUUGAGCCCCUCCCUGACCCAUAAUUGACUAAUGAUAGGUCUAAUGUUGUGUAAGUCCAUUGGAAGCAACCCCAGCUGCCAUGAAAUCAUAAUUAUGAUAGCUUUUCCAUACCCAGAAGAUAGCAGGUCACAGAUCUCCAUGACGUGCCCUGCCUUCUACAUCCUCUCCACCCUCACCCCUGUGAUGAUUCCUGAGCCUUAAAGUAGGUAGCACACAUAUUCUACUUAGAGCCAAGCACUCAGCCAUCGCUUAGUCUUAGCACCUCGAGCAGCCAUGCCUCUCCGCACUCACAGCUAUCCACAGUAAAGAGAAGCUUCUCUGAUGAAGGUUGGAGGUAGCAUUUGUCUAUGGGCAUCAACAUAAAUGUUUAUGGGGCAGCUUUGUGCCUCGACAACUUAGCUACACGACCAUAGACCUCUGUGACUAUCUGUGCCAUUUGUGCAUAGAGAUGUGAAAUGUGAGCAUAAAUUUGUGCAGAGACAUAAGUCCCAUUCCUAAGGCCAGUGGAUGAAAGAAGAUGUGGGACGAUAUGAAGCGCGAUGCUCAGAACUUCCUGUGUUGAUUUGUUCACUGCCAUCUGCUGGGUACUGUGUGGAGACGGGCCCCCAAUAGUCAGCUUCAGGGCCCUAUCAGGUAAGGGGUAGGAUUCCUUGAGUCCCUCUCUGACUCAGCCCCACUGUGUCCUUCCUAAAGGACCGAGUGGCCAGUGACUAAGCAAAGCAGCAAUAGAGACCCAGUCUCUGGGAACACAAGACAAUGCUGAUAAUAGUGAGGUAAAUAUUAUCUAAGGAAAAUCUGAUACACACACACACACACACACACAUAUAUAUAUACACAUAUAUAUAUAUAUAUAUAUUAUAUAUAUAUAUAUAUAUAUAUAUAUAUAUAUA